CUACGGGAGGCACCAGUGGGGAAUAUUGCACAAUGGGGGAAACCCUGAUGCAGCGACGCCGCGUGAGUGAAGAAGUAUUUCGGUAUGUAAAGCUCUAUCAGCAAGGAAGAAAAUGACGGUACUUGACUAAGAAGCCCCGGCUAACUACGUGCCAGCAGCCGCGGUAAUACGUAGGGGGCAAGCGUUAUCCGGAUUUACUGGGUGUAAAGGGAGCGUAGACGGCAAUGCAAGUCCGAUGUGAAAGCCCGGGGCUCAACCCUGGGACUGCAUUGGAAACUGUAUAGCUAGAGUGCAGGAGAGGUAAGUGGAAUUCCUAGUGUAGCGGUGAAAUGCGUAGAUAUUAGGAGGAACACCAGUGGCGAAGGCGACUUACUGGACUGUAACUGACGUUGAGGCUCGAAAGCGUGGGGAGCGAACAGGAUUAGAUACCCUUGUAGUC
rnacentral:rRNA from 1 species